rnacentral:rRNA from 1 species
UUGAACGCUGGCGGCAGGCCUAACACCUGCAAGUCGAGCGGAUGAAGGGAGCUUGCUCCUGGAUUCAGCGGCGGACGGGUGAGUAAUGCCUAGGAAUCUGCCUGGUAGUGGGGGAUAACGUCCGGAAACGGGCGCUAAUACCGCAUACGUCCUGAGGGAGAAAGUGGGGGAUCUUCGGACCUCACGCUAUCAGAUGAGCCUAGGUCGGAUUAGCUAGUUGGUGGGGUAAAGGCCUACCAAGGCGACGAUCCGUAACUGGUCUGAGAGGAUGAUCAGUCACACUGGAACUGAGACACGGUCCAGACUCCUACGGGAGGCAGCAGUGGGGAAUAUUGGACAAUGGGCGAAAGCCUGACCAGCCAUGCCGCGUGUGUGAAGAAGGUCUUCGGAUUGUAAAGCACUUUAAGUUGGGAGGAAGGGCAGUAAGUUAAUACCUUGCUGUUUUGACGUUACCAACAGAAUAAGCACCGGCUAACUUCGUG